rnacentral:rRNA from 1 species
UACGGAAGGCAGCAGUGGGGAAUAUUGCACAAUGGGCGAAAGCCUGAUGCAGCUAUGCCGCGUGUAUGAAGAAGGCCUUAGGGUUGUAAAGUACUUUCAUCGGGGAGGAAAAAAACAAAACUAAUAAUUUUAUUUCUUGACGUUACCCGAAAAAGAAGCACCGGCUAACUCCGUGCCAGCAGCCGCGGUAAUACGGAGGGUGCUAGCGUUAAUCAGAAUUACUGGGCGUAAAGAGCACGUAGGUGGGUUUUUUAAGUCAGAUGUGAAAUCCCUGGGCUUAACCUAGGAACUGCAUUUUGAAACUGAAAUACUAGAGUAUCGUAGAGGGAGGUAGAAUUCUAGGUGUAGCGGUGAAAUGCGUAGAUAUCUGGAGGAAUACCUGUGGCGAAAGCGGCCUCCUAAACGAAUACUGACACUGAGGUGCGAAAGCGUGGGGAGCAAACAGGGAUUAGAUACC